rnacentral:rRNA from 1 species
UACGUAGGGGCUAGCGUUGUCCGGAAUCAUUGGGUACGUAAAGCGCGCGUAGGCGGCCCGGUAAGUCCGCUGAUGAAAGUCAAAGGGCUCAACCCUUUGAACUGUCAGCGGAUACUGCCAGGCUGAGAGUCCGGAAGAGGCGAGUGGAACUCCUGGUGGUAAGCGGUGGAAUGCGCAGAUAUCAGGAAGAACACCAACGGCGAAGGCAGCUCGCUGGGACGGAACUGACGCUGGAGGCGCGAAAGCCGUGGGGAGCGAACAGG